rnacentral:rRNA from 1 species
AGUGAACGCUGGCGGUAGGCCUAACACAUGCAAGUCGAACGGCAGCACAGUAAGAGCUUGCUCUUACGGGUGGCGAGUGGCGGACGGGUGAGGAAUACAUCGGAAUCUACUUUUUCGUGGGGGAUAACGUAGGGAAACUACCCCAAAACCGCAUAAGACCCACGGGUGAAAGGAGGGGAAUUUUGGACCUUGCGCGGUUGAAUGAGCCGAUGUCGGAUUAGGGAGUUGGGGGGGUAAGGGCCCACCAAGGCGACGAUCCGUAGCUGGUCUGAGAGGAUGAUCAGCCACACUGGAACUGAGACACGGUCCAGACUCCUACGGGAGGCAGCAGUGGGGAAUAUUGGACAAUGGGCGCAAGCCUGAUCCAGCCAUACCGCGUGGGUGAAGAAGGCCUUCGGGUUGUAAAGCCCUUUUGUUGGGAAAGAAAAGCAGCAGGUUAAUACCCCGCUGUUCUGACGGUACCCAAAGAAUAAGCACCGGCUAACUUCGUG